AUGGAGGCAGGUGCCCAUGGGGACAUUGUGAUGACCCAGUCUCCUGUCUCCCUGGCUGCAGCUCCAGGAGAAAUGGUCACCUUCAACCACAAGCGCAGUCAGAGUGUGAAGAGCUCCUUAGCCUGGUACCAGCCAAAACCAGGACAGGCUCCUAAGCUGCUCGUCUACUCAGCAUCCACCCAGGCAUCUGAGGCCCCCAUCUGGUUUAGUGGCAGCGGGCAUGGGACAGGUUUCACUGUCACCAUCAACAGCCUCCAGUCACAAGAUGUGGCAGAUUAUUACUGUCAGCAAAAUUAUGGCAUUCUUGUCACAGUGCUUUAG